rnacentral:lncRNA from 1 species
CUCAACGUUACUGUCUUCUCACUUCAGACCCAGUUAAUGAGAUGUGGUCAGUAAAAGUGGCUGAACUAAUGUGUGACCCACUGAUUGUUUCCCGCUGAUCUCACGCAUAGCCCAUCCUUACUUCCUGCUGUGCCUGCCUCUUGCGUAGGGAAUCAUAACUUGUAAUAACCCCUUUCUCUUUCAGGGAACACAGAACAUAAUUGAGAUCUGACUUAUUGUUAGAUAUCUCUGUGAACAGAUGAGUCCUUUCUGUUCCUCUUUUAUCUUCACACUUCUUUCUCUAUUCCAAAUUUGGGAAGCCCUCAGUUUGAUAGACAUCUUGAGUCUGACUGCCUUUCACCUCCCUGGGGACAGAAUUGAAUUGAGCGAGUGUGAGGAUGCCAGAUGGGGUGGCAGGGUAGGGGGCUGCCUUCUGAUGGGAGCAGGAUUGAGGGACAGGGCUCUCACUAAUGGUGUGUAAUAUGAUUAUACUCACGCUCUGAUAGAACCUUCAGUAAAACUUCCUCGCUUACUAAUGCCUUGUGCAAUCCUUUUAUGGGGAUUGGGGGUAUGAGCACUAAGAACUCUUAAGUUGGCAUCAGAUGACCCCAUGGGACGACAGCCACAUCUGACCCACAGGUCCACACCCAGCUUUAGGGGUCCUCUUGGGCACAGACCAAUGCUCUAGGUUGGCAACACUGACAUUAUGGGGACUCAGUAUUUAAGGUUUAUCAUUCUUGUGAAAUAUUUCCCUUGGGUCUCUUCUAUUUGUCCAUAUUUAAAUUCAUUCAGCAGACAUUUAUGGAAUCCUUGCUAUGCAUUACACACUGAAGGAACAAGAAAAGUAGAAGUAAAGGUGGCUAAUGUUUAUAUUCUUCUUCAGAGCUUAAAAAUGCUGUUUCCUGUGUCAGUCUCUUGGAUCCGAUACGGACUCUGCUUUCAAAUUAUGGUGACAUCAUAAAUAUUCCUUGUUUAACUGAAAUCAGGUGUUUGAGAAAAAGGAAACAGUAUUGAGAGGUACAGUUAUUAACCUUACAAUGAGAGCAGGAUUUUAAAUGAAGAGAAGACAAUUCUUAAAAAUGGCAAGAUGGAUUAGACCUAAUGCCUCACAUUAAUGAAGGGAUUUCAAGUGAGUGGCCAUGUAUUUUUUAAUAGACCACGAAAAAAAUUCUAUGUAGAAAACUGAAGAAUUAAAAUGGUCGACAGCUUUCCUUGCUUGUUUUUGUCCUUUUCUAAAUUUACUCCUUAUGGAGAGAAGAGUGGUGACGACAGCCCACAGAAGUGACGAGUGCUUGGGGUCAAAUGGGUUUGCUUUGGGGCUACGGGAAAGCUUCUGUUUAGAUUUGCUGCCAUGGCCUGCAGCAAAGG